GACAGGGGAUGCAAGCGUUAUCCGGAAUGAUUGGGCGUAAAGCGUCUGUAGGUGGCUUUUUAAGUCUGCCGUCAAAUCCCAGGGCUCAACCCUGGACAGGCGGUGGAAACUACCAAGCUAGAGUACGGUAGGGGCAGAGGGAAUUCCCAGUGUAGCGGUGAAAUGCGUAGAUAUUGGGAAGAACACCAGCGGCGAAAGCGCGUGACUGGGCCUGAACUGACACUCAUGGACGAAAGCUAGGGGAGCGAAAGGG
rnacentral:rRNA from 1 species